UGACGACCAUAGCAAGGUGGUCCCACCCCUUCCCUUCCCGAACAGGACCGUGAAACACCUUUGCGCCGAUGAUAGUGGAUGUACAUCUGUGAAAGUAGGUCAUCGUCAGGCU
rnacentral:rRNA from 1 species